GGUGGCUCAGUGGUAGAGCGCUUGCCUAGCAUGCAUGAGGCCCUAGGUUUGAUUCCUUAGCACCA
rnacentral:tRNA from 1 species